rnacentral:rRNA from 1 species
UCCUUAGAUGUCCGGGGCUGCACGCGCGCUACACUGAAGGAAUCAGCGUGCUAAAACCAUUGUCGAAAGGCAUUGGUAAACCCAUUAAAAUCCUACGUGAUUGGGAUCGGGAAUUGCAAUUAUUUCCCUUGAACGAGGAAUUCCCAGUAAGUGUGGGUCAUAAGCUCGCGUUGAUUACGUCCCUGCCCUUUGUACACACCGCCCGUCGCUGCCCGGGACUGAGCCGUUUCGAGAAAAGCGGGGACUGCUGCUGUCGGGGCUUUCGGGCCUUGGCUUCGGUGGAAACCGCUUUAAUCGCAGUGGCUUGAACCGGGCAAAANUCGUANCA